rnacentral:rRNA from 1 species
CGUGAGAUGUUGGGUUAAGUCCCGCAACGAGCGCAACCCCUAUUGUUAGUUGCCAUCAUUCAGUUGGGCACUCUAGCGAGACUGCCGGUAAUAAACCGGAGGAAGGUGGGGAUGACGUCAAAUCAUCAUGCCCCUUAUGACCUGGGCUACACACGUGCUACAAUGGUUGGUACAACGAGUUGCGAGUCGGUGACGGCGAGCUAAUCUCUUAAAGCCAAUCUCAGUUCGGAUUGUAGGCUGCAACUCGCCUACAUGAAGUC